AAGCCUUUAAUUUACUUUGAGGACCGGCAACGAGGAACGCCCCUAGACUAAUUUUUGGGGAGAAACAUACAAUAUGUGGUCCUUUUAAGGUCUAAUUUGAAUGAAGAUUAACCAUAUUGAUAACCUGAAAUGUGAGAUUUUCCUGAUGAUGAAAUAUAUUUAUUCCACGUCGUGAUAUUUACUGAAGGAGAGAAAAAUGAGCGAAUCUCCAGAAACCGUAAACCAAGACUCCAUCAUUGAAAUAGAGCAAAAAGGAUCAACAACUGAAAUUAACAAUAAAGGAUCGAAUGUAUCAACUGAGUCUGGACAAAACGAACAAAAAAUUUCCAGAGUCGACAAUGACACUUCAGCUAGUGGAAAUGACUCAGCAAGAAACUCCAUUGACAAAUCAGCCACGAAGUGGGGAAUCCAUGAAGAUCUAAAGCAUCUUCAAGAGGAGGAUAUCAUCUUAGCUGCAACUCUUGUGAUUGAUGCAAAAGAAGGAAGAAAUUUUACAUUUAAAACAGACCCUACUUAUGUCAGGUCAUACAACUUGUACCACAAGUUCUACCUGCGGUAUCUACUCUACUUCAUGAUUCUCUUUAACCUGGCCCUGGCUCUGUUUGAGAGGCCGGCCAAACCUGGCUGGGAAAUACCCGCCUGGGCCUCCAUGUUACUAGAGCUGGUGUGUCUCUCGUUCUUUAUCUACCGUUUUACUCACUGCGCCUACUUCAGCCAGAGAAGUGUGUUUUGGAGGGACACCAAAAAUAUCCUCAUCCUUGUAGUCAUUGUGCUAACUUUUAUUGAUAUGCUGUGCUUUUUAAUCUGGGACAACGUGAAGACGUCCUCUCGACCAAUCAGAUGGUCUCGGCCACUACGGCCCCUAUUCCUCAUCAACUUCCCCGACGGAAAACAGAUCCGUCGAGCCUUUCGAAACAUCCGUCGGACGGUCCCAGAAAUUAUGAAUGUCCUGGUUUUAUUUCUUCUCAGUGUCCUGUUGUUUGGGUUACUGGCAUUAAAACUUUUCAGUAGGAGGGACCUUGUAUAUGCCAAUGGUAAGCCCUAUUUCAAGAAUUACCUGGACAGUAUAUGGGACCUCUAUGUUUUAGUCACCACGGCAAACAGUCCUGAUGUCAUGAUGCCAGCCUAUGACAGAAGUAACUGGUUCGCUGUAUUCUUCGUUAUGUACAUUGUGAUUUGUUGGUUGAUUUUUAUGAGUAUUGUGUUGGCGGCCAUUUACUACAGCUACAGAAAGAACCUAAAGAAUGAAAUUAAAGCUGCUGUUUAUGGGAAGAGAAAGAAGCUUGGUCAGGCGUUUGACAUCCUGAAAGUUCAGACCGGGGGCCGCGUGGUGGUGACCUACACCGUGUGGUGCGAGUUAAUGAAGCGUGUCAUCCCUGACCGGAGCAGGAGCCACAUUGACCUACUCAUCAGGGUGCUGGACAUUGAUGGAUCAAACAUGAUUCGUAAGCAGCAGUUCCUGAAACUGGCCGACCUUUUAGAACUCCAGCUGUCAGAGGUCAAGGACAGACUGACCUUCCUGGAGCAUACGUUUCCCGGCAUAUACAACUCCUACAUCAGUGGACUCCUCAAACGGGUGGUCAGACACAAAGCCUUUCGGUACUUCUUUGACUUUAUGAUCUUUGUCAAUGCCUGGUUUAUUGGUUUUGAUGUAGACGAGGCAGAUUGGUUCUUCCUGGGGAUAUUCAUGCUGGAAAUCGUAUUAAAACUGUACACAUUUGGACCUCGAGAGUUCUUCAAAGUCUUCUGGAAUGUAUUUGACUUCAUAGUAAUCGGGGCAGCAGUCAUUGCCUCAGCUAUUGAAGCCAUUGAAGAUUCCACUUAUGAGGAGUUCCAGCUUCUAGAUUAUCUCCUUGUAUUAAGAGUUCUGAGGCUUUUUAAAAUAUUUGGAAGUAUUAAACGCUUUAAAGUGAUCCUUCAAACAAUCAUCAACAUAGGGCCAUCUAUUAUUACUUAUGGGGGAGUCAUUGUGGUGUUUUACUAUAUUUUCGCCAUUAUUGGUAUGGAGGUUUUCCAGAACCUUAUCCAUUACUAUGAUUACUACAAUGAGACGUCGCAACCUUUCUGUGGGAAUGCCAAACUGAACGGCACCCAGUUCUACACCUUCCACUACUGUAAUAACAACUUUAAUGAUCUCCUACACUCUCUGGUUCUACUGGUGGAGCUCACUGUUGUUAAUCAUGGUUCACUGUUAGCAUCAGGAUUUGUAUCAGUGACCAGUAAAGUGGCUCGACUUUAUUUCUUUUGUUUUCAUAUGUGUUGUGUCAUCAUCGUCCUUAAUAUCUUUAUUGCAUUUAUUCUUGAGGCAUUUAUACUGGAGUACACCAUACAAAAGGUGGGAAAGUUGGAGUCUUAUGUUGAACAAAAAAUCCGUGAUCUGGGAUUAGGCCUUGGACAGACUGGCCCUAGACCACGUCAGUUGUCUACAGCAAAUGAUGGCUCUGAACUGGUUCCCAAUGAGGAGCUGGCUAACGUUGACCAGCCAGACUCGGACUCCGAUACAGAGAGUAUUCCUGAUUUAUCCACAGAGAAAGGGCUCAGAUUUCACCUCAAAAAGAAAAGUCGCAAGAAGGUGGAGGUCCUGUUACAACAGAUGUUUGAGGGGGAGAUUGACCCCGAAGACGAGGGACCGGAAAAUGAGACGGAAAUUUAUGUUGACAAAGGACCAAGGCGACUCACCCUGGACACUGUGGCUUAAUCAACACAGAAGUCGAGGGGACAGAAAACAUCAAAAAAGGACCAAGAAGACUCAUCAUAGACACGCUGGAUUAAUCAUCAGUCUUCAGUCAUCUUCAUCAAUUUGUCUUCCAAUAAAAUCAAAAGACUUAUCUUUCUGUUAAUAUUUCGGAAGAUCUAUUUGAUUUUACUUUUACAAAUAUUUGUUGUAAGUUGGUUGGCAUUAUUUAUCUCAUGUAUCUAUGAAGAAACUGAAGUUUUCCUUCAUAGAAUUUAUCUUAUGACUCCAGUUUUACUCUUAUUUUUAUUUUACUAUGUCUACAGUGGAAUUUUGAGUUCCAUUUAGGACUGCAUCAUUAUUUUUGGAACUUCCAGUAGACAGGAUGUGAUAUGAAUGAUUUUGUUUUUCCCAACGAAACAAAGACAUUUUAGAAGUUAAGGAAUGAAAUUGAUGAAAUGUUUCAUCAUUAUAAAUAUACUACAUGUAUAAAUUACCAUGGACUUUGGUUAACAUGGUGUUUUUACAUUGUUAAUACUCAGUUUCUUAAUAAUACUUUGUACACUGCUAUUUACAGGUACAUUAUAGACACAUACAAUGUAUUUAUCAACGCAUUGACACAAUUCCUUACUUUUCAAAGAAAAGACUAAUAUGAAGGAAUCAAUGUGAAUGCAUAGAUGGUUACAUAUUUAUUCUCUGUAGACUUCUGGUUAAAAAAACUCUUUAAAUAUACUGGACGAGAUUACUGGAUGUUUGAUUAUGUUUUAUGAAUGGGAAUGGUUUGUCUCACUGUUGUUAAGGAAAGUUGGUAGAAACAAACUUUUAUAGAAUAACAAGUCUUGAAAAUAACAUUUUCAUUAAACUUUCCUUAAAUAAAAUUCAGAAGAUCAUUUUUAGUUCAAACUUUAAAAAGCUGAAUUUUAAGUCAAAUGAAAGGUCGCACGAGAUAAAAAGGAUGGCUGCUGAAAGGGUUUUGAACUUCGUAGAAAGUU